rnacentral:rRNA from 1 species
CCUACGGGUGGCAGCAGUGGGGAAUAUUGCACAAUGGGCGCAAGCCUGAUGCAGCCAUGCCGCGUGUGUGAAGAAGGCCUUCGGGUUGUAAAGCACUUUCAGCGGGGAGGAAGGCGGUGAGGUUAAUAACCUCAUCGAUUGACGUUACCCGCAGAAGAAGCACCGGCUAGCUCCGUGCCAGCAGCCGCGGUAAUACGGAGGGUGCAAGCGUUAAUCGGAAUUACUGGGCGUAAAGCGCACGCAGGCGGUCUGUCAAGUCGGAUGUGAAAUCCCCGGGCUCAACCUGGGAACUGCAUUCGAAACUGGCAGGCUAGAGUCUUGUAGAGGGGGGUAGAAUUCCAGGUGUAACGGUGAAAUGCGUAGAGAUCUGGAGGAAUACCGGUGGCGAAGGCGGCCCCCUGGACAAAGACUGACGCUCAGGUGCGAAAGCGUGGGGAGCAAACAGGAUUAGAUACCCCGGUAGUC